UGGGGAAUUUUGGACAAUGGGCGAAAGCCUGAUCCAGCAAUGCCGCGUGUGUGAAGAAGGCCUUCGGGUUGUAAAGCACUUUUGUCCGGAAAGAAAUCCUCUGGGUUAAUACCUCGGGGGGAUGACGGUACCGGAAGAAUAAGCACCGGCUAACUACGUGCCAGCAGCCGCGGUAAUACGUAGGGUGCAAGCGUUAAUCGGAAUUACUGGGCGUAAAGCGUGCGCAGGCGGUUUUGUAAGACGGAUGUGAAAUCCCCGGGCUUAACCUGGGAACUGCAUUCGUGACUGCAAGGCUAGAGUAUGGCAGAGGGGGGUAGAAUUCCACGUGUAGCAGUGAAAUGCGUAGAGAUGUGGAGGAAUACCGAUGGCGAAGGCAGCCCCCUGGGCCAAUACUGACGCUCAUGCACGAAAGCGUGGGGAGCAAACAGGAUUAGAUACCCUGGUAGUCCACGCCCUAAACGAUGUCAACUAGUUGUUGGGGAUUCAUUUCCUUAGUAACGUAGCUAACGCGUGAAGUUGACCGCCUGGGGAGUACGGUCGCAAGAUUGAAACUUAAAUGAAUUGAUGGGGUCAUAGCUGUUUCCU
rnacentral:rRNA from 1 species